ACUUGUGGCUGGGGGUGAAAGGCCAAUCAAACCGGGAGAUAGCUGGUUCUCCCCGAAAGCUAUUUAGGUAGCGCCUCGUGAACUCAUCUUCGGGGGUAGAGCACUGUUUCGGCUAGGGGGUCAUCCCGACUUACCAACCCGAUGCAAACUACGAAUACCGAAGAAUGUUAUCACGGGAGACACACGGCGGGUGCUAACGUCCGUCGUGAAGAGGGAAACAACCCAGACCGCCAGCUAAGGUCCCAAAGUCAUGGUUAAGUGGGAAACGAUGUGGGAAGGCACAGACAGCCAGGAUGUUGGCUUAGAAGCAGCCAUCAUUUAAAGAAAGCGUAAUAGCUCACUGGUCGAGUCGGCCUGCGCGGAAGAUGUAACGGGGCUAAACCAUGCACCGAAGCUGCGGCAGCGACACUAUGUGUUGUUGGGUAGGGGAGCGUUCUGUAAGCCUGCGAAGGUGUGCUGUGAGGCAUGCUGGAGGUAUCAGAAGUGCGAAUGCUGACAUAAGUAACGAUAAAGCGGGUGAAAAGCCCGCUCGCCGGAAGACCAAGGGUUCCUGUCCAACGUUAAUCGGGGCAGGGUGAGUCGACCCCUAAGGCGAGGCCGAAAGGCGUAGUCGAUGGGAAACAGGUUAAUAUUCCUGUACUUGGUGUUACUGCGAAGGGGGGACGGAGAAGGCUAUGUUAGCCGGGCGACGGUUGUCCCGGUUUAAGCAUGUAGGCUGAUUGUCCAGGCAAAUCCGGAUAAUCAAGGCUGAGGUGUGAUGACGAGGCACUACGGUGCUGAAGUAACAAAUGCCCUGCUUCCAGGAAAAGCCUCUAAGCAUCAGGUAACAUUAAAUCGUACCCCAAACCGACACAGGUGGUCAGGUAGAGAAUACCAAGGCGCUUGAGAGAACUCGGGUGAAGGAACUAGGCAAAAUGGUGCCGUAACUUCGGGAGAAGGCACGCUGGUGUGUAGGUGAAGUCCCUGCGGAUGGAGCUGAGACCAGUCGAAGAUACCAGCUGGCUGCAACUGUUUAUUAAAAACACAGCACUGUGCAAACACGAAAGUGGACGUAUACGGUGUGACGCCUGCCCGGUGCCGGAAGGUUAAUUGAUGGGGUUAUCCGUAAGGAGAAGCUCUUGAUCGAAGCCCCGGUAAACGGCGGCCGUAACUAUAACGGUCCUAAGGUAGCGAAAUUCCUUGUCGGGUAAGUUCCGACCUGCACGAAUGGCGUAAUGAUGGCCAGGCUGUCUCCACCCGAGACUCAGUGAAAUUGAACUCGCUGUGAAGAUGCAGUGUACCCGCGGCAAGACGGAAAGACCCCGUGAACCUUUACUAUAGCUUGACACUGAACAUUGAGCCUUGAUGUGUAGGAUAGGUGGGAGGCUUUGAAGCGUGGACGCCAGUCUGCGUGGAGCCAACCUUGAAAUACCACCCUUUAAUGUUUGAUGUUCUAACGUUGGCCCCUGACCGGGGUUGCGGACAGUGUCUGGUGGGUAGUUUGACUGGGGCGGUCUCCUCCCAAAGCGUAACGGAGGAGCACGAAGGUUAGCUAAUCCUGGUCGGACAUCAGGAGGUUAGUGCAAUGGCAUAAGCUAGCUUGACUGCGAGCGUGACGGCGCGAGCAGGUGCGAAAGCAGGUCAUAGUGAUCCGGUGGUUCUGAAUGGAAGGGCCAUCGCUCAACGGAUAAAAGGUACUCCGGGGAUAACAGGCUGAUACCGCCCAAGAGUUCAUAUCGACGGCGGUGUUUGGCACCUCGAUGUCGGCUCAUCACAUCCUGGGGCUGAAGUAGGUCCCAAGGGUAUGGCUGUUCGCCAUUUAAAGUGGUACGCGAGCUGGGUUUAGAACGUCGUGAGACAGUUCGGUCCCUAUCUGCCGUGGGCGCUGGAGAAUUGAGGGGGGCUGCUCCUAGUACGAGAGGACCGGAGUGGACGCAUCACUGGUGUUCGGGUUGUCAUGCCAAUGGCACUGCCCGGUAGCUAAAUGCGGAAGAGAUAAGUGCUGAAAGCAUCUAAGCACGAAACUUGCCCCGAGAUGAGUUCUCCCUGAGACUUUAAGUCUCCUGAAGGAACGUUAAAGACGAUGACGUUGAUAGGCCGGGUGUGUAAGCGCAGCGAUGCGUUGAGCUAACCGGUACUAAUGAACCGUGAGGCUUAACCUU
rnacentral:rRNA from 1 species